GUACAGGCUGAGGGAGAGAGAGAGGGGCGAGCGAGGAGAGAGAGGGGCGAGCAAGCAAGCCAGCGAGGGAGAGAGAAAGUGUAUAUUCCUGUCAAACUGCACACAUGCCUUCAACAGCCAGUAGUUCAUUUGGUUUCCAGGGAUGGUCUGAGUCCAGCUCGGACCCAUAGCUCAGGAUCUGGUUGGCAAAGCGGUCCAGCUCCUGAAUUUCCUUUGGAAACCAAGGGACUGUGGAGACAGAGAACAGAGGCACAGAUGACGUCAUUGGCAACCAAUCAGGACAUCACUGAGUACCUGCAGAAUGACAUCACAUCCGUAAAUACGGGAUUGGCUGUGGGGGAAGGGCAGUCUCUGCUGAUGGGGGAGAAGAUGCAGGACAGCACCCCCGCCUUGGUGGCUUGCUCCUCCAGGUACAUGGAGCUCUGCAGGAAAACACAGAGAGCAGAGACAUCAGCUCUGGCCUCCUGGCCAGGACUGUACCAACCCACACAUUCCAGGGGGGUGCAUAGCAACAAGCUGCGAAGUCGGAAGAAGGUCUUGAGGCACACCAAACAUGUUCAAUCUGGUUUUGGGUUUUGGAGAAAAGAGAGAAAGAGAAGAGGUUAACCGGAGGGCAGUGAUCUGGUGUGUCCAGCGUGCGGGCGGACGCCAGGGCAAGCAGAGGAAGUUUGGAAAGCGGUGACCCAUUCCGACCUGCUGCAUGGGCGCUGACCCGCCGCGGUCCCUGGCCCAUGAUGCGCUGCUGGUGAGAGUGUCC